AUAACCCAGCAAACUAUUUCUUCCAAGUAGACACGCCCCCUACUCCCCACUGUCAUCCAAUAAAGCCGUCACGUUCUGAACACUGUAAGGGGUAAAUCCAUUAGGACAGAUCCCUUGGGACAGAUCUAAUCAUGUCCCCAAAGCCUAUCAGCUGGCAACCAAGGGUCCCAAUUCCUGGUCUGGUGGAGGGUAUUUCAUAUUCAAAACACACCAAUGUCUCUGCUGUUCCCUAUGGGCCUGCUUUGCCCCCAUCCUUGGCUUCUUUUUAUCUUCUUCUUUUAGCCUCAUCCAGCCUUCUGUGAGAACAAUGACUUCCCUUCCCUUCCGGUUCCAACCUGUUCCAUCCUCAGCUUGGAGGUGGAUGCCACUCCUGCAGAUGGACUUGAGGUAGUUCCACGUCCUGUGCUGCUCGUGAUUCGCUUCUAAGGUCAUUUUCAAAGACUCCGCCAUUAACUUCAGAGAACCCGGAAGGUACUUCUCAAGCUCUAUAAAACUCAGCUUGGACAAUGGAAUGCGAGCGGAAGUGAUACGUCAGUUCCAGGAGGAGCUCAAUGAAUAAAUGCAUGAUUUUUU